AAUUGUCUUGUAAUUGGAAUGAUGGUGACCUAAACCCUCACCAGAGUAACAAUUGGAGGGCAAGUCUGGUGCCAGCAGCCGCGGUAAUUCCAGCUCCAAUAGCGUAUAUUAAACUUGUUGCAGUUAAAAAGCUCGUAGUUGAAUUUUUGCGUGGUGUCAACAUUGACUGAUGUCGAGAUUGCACUUCGCUUUUGGGAUUUUUCCCUUUUUACUUUGAGAAAAUUAGAGUGUUUCAAGCAGACUUUUGUCUUGAAUACUUCAGCAUGGAAUAAUAGAGUAGGACUUUGGUUCUAUUUUGUUGGUUUGUGAACCUUAGUAAUGGUUAAUAGGAACGGUUGGGGGCAUUCGUAUUUA
rnacentral:rRNA from 1 species